rnacentral:lncRNA from 1 species
CUGGUCACAUGACCUCGUCAUGCAUCAUCAUCCGCCGCCAUUUUGUUAUGCAUCGGAGGCAGAAAAUUUAUUCAAGCUCUGAAGUCCCAAACAACUGAAAAUGCUCCAAAACACCAUCACGUGACCCAGUAGCAGACACUACAUCUGCCAAUGAGCAAUGGACAGAACUGAGAAUACCAUAUCAUGAACCGUAGUGAACACUGCUGGCAACAUCCUGUUUUAGGAUCGAUUUCUCUACAUACAAGCCCCACCAGUGCAGUUGGCACACAACAGCAUCCCUCCUGAUCAAGUGAAAAGGAAUCCUAUGACACCGCUUGAUCUUUGUCUGACAUGGAAAUCUGCAAAUCAAAUAAGGUGGAAGAAUAACAUCUGGUUAAAAAAUUUAUGUGGAAAAAUAUCUGCUUUAAAGUGAUGUCAUGAACUGGACGCUGCACUCUUGAUUCCAACACUAAUAUUGUCAAGUUCAUAUUCAGCAAGUUGAAGAUAACUGACACCAUCUUUAAGUAUAAGUUUCACAAAUAUGGUAUUCAGAAGUUUUUUGUUUUCACUACUGAUGUAUAUAUAGUAUAAAAAAAUGGAUUUCUGUAAUAGAAUAAAGUAUUGUAAUACA